GAUGAACGCUGGCGGCGUGCCUAACACAUGCAAGUCGAACGAAGCGAUUAGGAUGAAGUUUUCGGAUGGAUUCCUGGUUGACUGAGUGGCGGACGGGUGAGUAACGCGUGGAUAACCUGCCUCACACUGGGGGAUAACAGUUAGAAAUGGCUGCUAAUACCGCAUAAGCGCACAGUACCGCAUGGUACGGUGUGAAAAACCCAGGUGGUGUGAGAUGGAUCCGCGUCUGAUUAGCCAGUUGGCGGGGUAACGGCCCACCAAAGCGACGAUCAGUAGCCGACCUGAGAGGGUGACCGGCCACAUUGGGACUGAGACACGGCCCAAACUCCUACGGGAGGCAGCAGUGGGGAAUAUUGCACAAUGGGCGGAAGCCUGAUGCAGCGACGCCGCGUGAGUGAAGAAGUAUCUCGGUAUGUAAAGCUCUAUCAGCAGGGAAGAAAAUGACGGUACCUGACUAAGAAGCCCCGGCUAACUACGUGCCAGCAGCCGCGGUAAUACGUAGGGGGCAAGCGUUAUCCGGAUUUACUGGGUGUAAAGGGAGCGUAGACGGCGACGCAAGUCUGGAGUGAAAGCCCGGGGCCCAACCCCGGGACUGCUUUGGAAACUGUGCUGCUGGAGUGCAGGAGAGGUAAGUGGAAUUCCUAGUGUAGCGGUGAAAUGCGUAGAUAUUAGGAGGAACACCAGUGGCGAAGGCGGCUUACUGGAC
rnacentral:rRNA from 1 species